GCACUGGUGGUUCAGUGGUAGAAUGCUCGCCUGCCACGAGGGCGAUUCGGGUUAGAUUCCCGAUCAAUGAA
rnacentral:tRNA from 1 species